ensembl:snoRNA SNORD26 Small nucleolar RNA SNORD26
CUACCGUGAUGUUAUUGAACUCUCUCACUGAAUAUUUUGUGGAAAACGUAAAAUAUUCUGAGUAGC